rnacentral:misc_RNA from 1 species
AGAGCUUGCUGAAUCCAUGGAAUCUUUGAAGGAGAACAAAUUGAAAGUGACAAACUCAUGUUGGCGGAGAGGCAGGCCUUCACAAUACAAAACUUGAUUUGGGUGGGAACUGCAUUGAUGCCUUAGGUUGAUCUUUAGGUGUGUCAACAAUUUGGAUUCAAUCCUGGUAUAUACUCGAGACGAAGUUUGCAGGUAAAAGGACCAUGCUGGAAAUAUACACAAUGGGCUUUCGAGUUGGUGAUUGAGUAAGCUUUGCUAGAGUGUUGCACUCUGCCUCAUUUUUCUUUAGAGGCGGGAGUGUGAUGUUAUAGUUGGAUUACAUUCAUAUUUGUACAUAUUUGACGUGUGAACAACUAGUUCUGGACGUAACUCACACAUUUUCU